GACGAGGGACCUAGCGUUGUUCGGAAUCAUUGGGCGUAAAGAGUAUGUAGGCGGCCUUGUAAGUCAGUUGUGAAAGCCCCGGGCUCAACCCGGGAAGUGCAAUUGAUACUGCUUGGCUUGAAUGUGGAAGAGGGCAGUAGAAUUCCUGGUGUAGUGGUGAAAUACGUAGAUAUCAGGAGGAAUACCGGUGGCGAAGGCGGCUGCCUGGUCCUACAUUGACGCUGAGAUACGAAAGCGUGGGGAGCAAACAGG
rnacentral:rRNA from 1 species